CGAAGGUGAACUUGACUUCGUGGUCUUGCUUGCAGGCAGCCUUGGCCAGAUCAGCUGUGUGAGGGAGCAAAGGCACGGCUAAGGAGGAAAACGAGGAACCCGAUGAGAAACAAGGUAGAAGGAAAAGGAAGAUGAGAUAAAAAUGAACCUCGGAAAACCACACGUCAACUCACAUUCAAUGGCUUUCCUUUGGCGGGGGACGAUGAUACACUGGACGAAGAGAGCUGUGAGGAAUCCAACGCCCAGAGAGGUGAUGACGGCGCCCCACCAGGGAAUCACAUCGAAGUGCAGCACUACAAGGGACAGAGAGAGAGAGACAUUUUAAAAUCCAUUCUUCCAAUAUCUCGGCAAAAUAAAUCCCACGGAAGAGAGAAUAGGUGUUUGGCUCAAGAAAUAUUGACUGGUUCACUUACUCCUUGGGCCAUCAUGGACGACGGAGAACACGUUGACGAGAAGGGUGAGGCCGUAGAUGAAGGGGAGAGCCUUGAGACCGGGUUCCAGGGGCUUCUCCUUCUUCAGGAUGAAGUGGUUGAGGAGGAGGUAGAUGACGCCGGACAUGAUGCCGGAGAGAACAGGAGAAAUGAACCAUGAUCCAACUGCGGAAGACAAUCGAGAGAAAAAACGAUAUUAGAGAUGAAAGUUAGAGCUACACUCUUACCAUCCGCUCUCUUAUCGAAAAACCCAUUGUCCCACCCCAUCAACUCUCGCCCCAAAAUACUUAAGAGUAAAAUAGUGGUCAUUUCCAUUAGAAUAUUGACCACCGAUUUUUUAUAAAUCACUCCGCGCACCUACGCUUCCUUCUAUACA